AGUUAAUUCUAAGUUUACAUAAAUUACGUUGGUUUGUGUAUGUCUCUACCAUUGUUAUUAGCACUAAUACGGGAGUUUUUUAAAGGGCCAGAACGGAUUAAUUUUUUUUUAAUUUCUUAUAGGAAAAACUGAUUUAAGAUACGAGCACGAGCUUACGAACGGAUUAUGCUCGUAUCUCCAGGUUCCACUUUACUCUGAAAGAUCAGGCUAAUUACAGGACAACAUAUAUAUUUACUGUAUUCUUAUCUGGUGACUAUAAGGAUAAAGGUUUUUCUGCUCUCACCACUCAAGUUUUUUUUUCUCUAUUCACCAUCCACUGUCUCUAAUAUGUCCUUUAAAACCAAGUGAUUCUUGUUGACACACCUUUAAUAAACUACACAACAACAAAGUAGGAUCCUGCAGUCCUGUAGGACUUGGUGGGGAAACCAAAUAAAUAUAUAAAUAUAUAAAUAAAUAUGUGAAGUGUGUGGAUUAGUCUGAAUAAUAAAGAAUAUUUUCCUGAAAUUCAGCACGAGAAAUCUGAUGAACAUAUUGCAUGUGUUCCAUAAAAGUGCAUUCACAGAGCAGCUUGAACAAUAGAAGCAGUGCUUUAGGAAGGAGAGGGGAGUGUGUGUGUGGAGGGGUGUUCAUGUUCAUUUAAACAAGCAGAGUGUGGCUGUGGGCCCGAAACAGCCAGCAGUACAUUUCCAUAACAGGAAAGGUCAGAGCUGCGGCUAUGACGGCUUAAGAGAAGCUAACACAGUCUUUUCUGGGAGCUCCCAGCUGACUGGAUUUAAUUUAUUGCAUUAAUAAAAUGUUACAUUUUGCAUUCUGUAUGGUGUCACUCCAGUUAGCACAUUUAUUUGACAUUUAAUUCAUGUUUUUAGUUUAUACACACUAUACUGUUAUAUUUCUCUGGGGGCAUUUCAUAUUUUAUUAUUUGUAACUAUAUUAUAAAUUAAAAAUGAACUUGUUUUUUUUUUUUACAUUGAUGCAGCUACAGUGCUAACUGUUAUAAAUGUAGCAUUUGUAUUAUUUUUUCUGAAAUUAUCUGUUGUAUAGAUAGCAAUUACAUAAAGUAAUACAACUUUAAAAUCUGUUUUGAAGCAGCAUCCUGGUCGACAGAACGACUCCUGGCCUCAUAAAGUACUGCGUCACUGUUGACACUGCCUUGAAACCUACUUAGGUCUUUCCUGUAUAUAAUUAACUACUGCCACUGGUAUUUGACUGAAUAGAUGCCUGUUUUGGUUAAUAGUUGACUUCUCUCCCACACUGUUAGCAUUAGUUCUGCUAACUCACAAGAAGUGUUUUCAAUCUUUUCUUAGUCUACAGCAAGUAAUAAAUAGAAAUAAUACUUCACGUAAAGGCAAGUAAGAGGCUGUACUUCAGUUUGAAAUUCUGCCGGUAAAAACGGGCAGAGCCAGCCACUGAGCCCACCCGGGCCUCACCUUGUGGGUGCAGAAGUGUCACAUUGCAGCUCGUCCGAACCAGAUAAGGCUGAAGUGUGAGGUUUUUCGUCUGUCGUCUAGGUGAAACAACAGAACCAAAAAAGGCACUUAAUCCACAGUACUCUGAAUUAUUCAGUGGAGCGCUGCCACCGGCCAGAGAGAGCUGUCUCUGCGUGAGACGUCGAAACAGAAAGACAACAUGAUGUGGCAGUGGAGGUGAGGUGUCAGUGGUAGAGCGACAGCAGCAGAUGUCAGGGUGGGGGCUUCCAAGGAAACCCCACACUCAUCUUUUUUUUGCACCCUUGCCUUGCUCUCCUCCGCAUGGCAGUUGUUAUCGCAUAACCAGGGUAUAACUAGCUGUCACGACAAGUCAACUGUAAAUAGACAGCAUUCCUGGCGGUCAGCUUGUCCUGACACAGAAACCGACGGGGUGCUGGCUGCAGAGGGGAUCAGGUGUCUCGGGCAGCCAUCGUGACAAAGCAAAUCCACCCACGGCCGUGGCCUGAACUGAAAGUCAGAGUAAAGAGCAGCAAUAAUAGUAAUGAAAUCUGAUAACAACAGGCAAGGUUACAGGCACAAGGCUCACCUCGUACAUUUAGACCCAUGUUAGUUAAUAAAGUCUUAACAAUACCAGGUUCUCGUGAGAUAUCUUUCUCAGAAUGCGUAGGAUUUUUUUUGAAAAUCAGGACAAAUAUAUUUUCAAGGCGAGGAGUUCAUAAUAACUGUGGCGUUAUGGCCACUGGUUAUUUUUUAACAUCUAUUUAAUCACUGAUGUUUAAAUAUAUUUGGUUCUUAUUUACCAUGUAUUUUGUUUUCUUUUUUUCCAGAUGAGAAAGAGUUAGUUCUAGCCAUUUAACGGAGACUUUGCUUCAUUUAAAAAAAAAAAAAGAUAUUGUUGUUUUUCCUUUUCCCUACUCAGUAGAGUAUAUAAAUAAUUAAAUAAUUCUACAGUUACUGUUCACUAAUCAAAACUGGUUAGUCAUCCCGGUGACCAAACGCUGUGACGAAUGACUCAUCAAAAAAUGUUUAGAUAUGGAAAUGCUAUAUACCCAGGCUUUGAACUGUCAGAUUACUACAGAUUACUGCACUUCAGAGCAUACUGUAUCACAGAUUACGACGGCGGAAUUAAACAAAUGACGUAUUUGUAGAAAUGCUGAAAAGUGGCCGCAAGACUUUUUUUAGAGCGUGCAUUGUAGUAAAAAUGUAAUUCCCUAAGGUCUUUACUGCCCUGUGUUUGAGGAAAUACCCUGCCUGAAGUGCAGUGCUUCAGUAAACACCGAUGCAAAUCACAGCGCUUCAGGUCUGCCGUGGGAGGUGAUGCAGUGUCAGGAAAUAGAGGCUGAGGAACUCCUGACCUUUCCUUUCGUCGGCACUUUCUGUCAUUUAGACGUCUGUGUCUCGGUGUCACCGUGGGCAGACCAGGAGGAGUUCAACUGUCACCUUCAGGGGAAGACAAACUCACUUUCAAGAACAGCAGUGUUUACAUUAGUGUGUGGAUUUCGGGUAAUAAACACAAAUGAGCAAGUGAUAUGAGAAAGAGAAAGUAGAGUGAGGGGUUGAUAUAGUAGAUGAUGAUUCAGGGAGAACAGCGUGUAAUACCCCAACGCAUACUAUUUCUGUACUGUCUGUUAGCCCGUGCGUGAAGGGGGGGGGAUCCCACCCUGUGUGUGUGUGUGUGUGUGUGUGUAGUGUUGACCAUGCAGAGUCAGUCAGUCUGCCAUGGGGCCUCGGGGAUUCCUGUUUCGUCUUUUAGAAAUGCUCUGGGGUCUCACUAGAGGUUGCGCCUGGUGAUGGUGGUUAAGGGGCCUAUCAGCUGGCCUGAAGGAUGUGUUCAUGUCUCCUCACCCUCACACCAUCUAUCCAUGCUCAUAAAUCACUAAAUCCCGACAUUUUCUACAGCUCUAAGGGACUAAGGAGUGGAUUUAUGACAACAAAAAGUUGUCAUAAAUCCAGAUAUCUGGGUAUUUGUUGAGUCUUUAAAACAGGGGUUUCAAAUUUUGGUUCAGGGGUCGCCUACAACCUAAUUAGAUGUCAAGUGGGCCAGAACCAGUAGAAUCGUAAUAUAAUUAACUAUAAAUAACAAUAGGUCCAACAGUAUAUUAGAUGUUCAUUGAUUCACAUUUAAUAAAUAAUUUUACAAAAAAAUAUCCUGGACAAGUGUUUGUGCAUUUUGUCAUUUUUACAAUUUAUCAAGCAGGCUGGAUUGAACACCCUAGUGGGCCGGUUUUGGCCCGUGGGCCGUAUGUUUGACACCAAUGCUUUCAAAUAUUUGAUUCUCUGCAUUUAACAUAUGUAUUAUGUACUUUACAUUUAAUAAUCCUGCCUUACGUCAACAAGGUCACUGCUCAAGCACCUACUUUAACUGAUUCUUUUUUAUGAUUUCUAUCCAAGGGUGUGGACUAAUUUUUUUUUAAAUGAAAAUUAUUAUCAACAGCAUCCUGAAAUGCCACAUAGACCGUAACUGUGACUAACAAAAAUAUUUGAUGAGUCACAGAUCGUCCUGAGAGAAGGCGGGGUUUUAUUGUCUGUUCAACCAACUAAUACUUGUAAUAUGAUUUUUCUUUUUAAUUGAUAGAUAAUUCAAUUAAAGUGGACUUUGCUGAAGAAAGUCAAAGAUGAAAGCUGAUGCUUUUAUUUCCUGUGGAUGAGCCUGUAACUGUAAAAGAACAUGGGACGGGGCCUCACUCUCAGUGAAGAGGGCAAAUUCUUCACAUCGCGCAAUGUGUGCAGACGAGUUUCAGCUUUACACACGCACACACACACACACAGAUACUCACACAGACCCAUACACACACACACACAAAGGAGUCCAGCUGUCAAUCAGAGUCUCGUAAGAAGCAGUCAACAGACAGGCUAUUCUCUGUCUUGGCAAAUGUCCCGUGCAGCAGAGAGAGCACUAUGUCACACAGAGACAGACAGACUUCCCUCUGUCACACACUCGCUCCAGCAUCGUUCACUCUCUCUGUGUCUGCCACAAAUCACAUUUUCAUUACACAGAAAAAAAGUUGUAGAGUCAUUUCAAAAUAUGAAAAAAUAAAGGUCUAUUUCCUGCAUUUUUCAUACAGAUUUAAAGGUACUGUGGAGCUCACAGAUCCAUACAGUCCAAUCUGGGGACAUUAUAUCUGCAGAAAUCCUAACCUGCAGUUUAGUGCGUAGGUGUAAUGAGAGCAUAAGAAAUAUUCAGGGUCUCCUCCUCCAAGCCUCACUUCUUCUUUUUCUCACUACGCUCCAUUUAUUUGACUGACACUGUGUCCACUAAAUUUGCAUGCGCUGGAGUCAUUUGGUGGAAGAGGGGCUGCUCUCAGAGCGACUCCUCCAGACGUGACAUCACAUUAAAAAAAAAAAAACACAAUUACACACUCAACAAGCGCACCCUGUGUGUACAGUACAUCUGGAUGAAGAAAAAAAGAGUUAUUACUUCACUAAGCCUUCAGAGGAAUCUCAUUUAAUGGAUAAAUGAUAGAUGGAUGGAUAGAUGGAUGGAUGGAUGGAUGGAUGGAUAGAUGGAUGGAUGGAUAGAUAGAUUAAUAGAUAGAUAGAUAAUGUUAACUUUUUAAUUUUUCUUUCUGCCAGACCUCCAAUACUGCAUAAAAGCCAGCAAAUGUUGGGUCAUGUCCAAACCUGUCCAGAUACCACUGAGAGCUCUCAGGCCAGGCCUUAGAUACAGCCUGCCAAAACAACAAUACAAUAAAGUACAAAAGAGUCAUUAACUACCAAAAGGACAUUUAAUCAGAGCAGUUCCGUUAUUUCCGCAUUAACAAUUCAAAAGAAAGAAAAACACUUUUCAUGCAAAGAAGAAGGAUCUAGUUCCUGGAGAUGAACCUGAGACGGUGGCACAUAGGUCAUAUUCAUUUAUCCUGAUUAAUUAAAAUCACAAUUAAUCCAUUACUAUUUUGCAAUGAUUUUUUAAAAAGAAUUAUAAAAACAAUAUAUUUAUUUGGGGUGUUUUUUUUCCUGCUACUUUACUUUUUGUCAGCUCCUAUUGGACAAUUCAUCUAUCAAUCACACAUUGUGACCACUCAUAUUCAGCUGCCAACUUGUCCUGUAUAACCAAAUCUGGAACACCCGUUCCCGAACCACUAAGAGUGUUUAAAGUUUCAAAACAGUAAAUCAAGUGCCUUGCUCUGAGAAUAUUAACAAGAGCCUUUUAAUAAAAAGUCCAAAUUUGUGUUAGAAGAAUUUCCCUCCACAGUGAAGCUGUGCUGUGAUCAGCCUGGCACUGAAGUCUUCCUGCUCACACUAGGGCAAUAAUGAGGCUUUUCCUUUUGAUGCUUCUCUACAGUGACUCCCUUAGCGACCACAGGAAAUGGAAUUUUCUAGUGGGAUCAAAACAAGUUGAGAGCUGUAAACGGUUUGAGUUUCCGACAAAGACAAUGUGCCAGAUUCCAGCGCCUUAAGGGACAUGGCCAUAUCACAAUGAGUCCUCUGUCUACGACGUGUGCACACACCCACUUGUACCCUCCGACACACACAAACGCCCAGUGAGACGUACAACACUAUGGAGUACUUCAAUGCUGUGAAGUCCUGAUUCAGUAGCCGAGUGUGUAUUUUCACGCAGUACCUUUGUUGUACUUGUGUGGCUGCAUGGCAUGGUGCACACCUCUACACUAGUGCAUAGUGAGUGAGUGUGUGUGCGCGCGUGUGUUCUUGUUUGUAGCCUAAAGGCAGCCUUACUUUUGACAGUUCUUAGAAUUGGUUUGGGGCAAGGUUCAAGCAGGUAAUGGAGAAAUUUGGUUUCUUUGUGUGUGUGUGUGUGUGGGUGGGUGUGGGUGUGUGAGUGUGAGUGUAUGCCUGCGGUCCUAGGGUCAGGCAGCCCAUUAGCAAGACAUCCCAGUAUCUAAGUGCCUCCCUCCAGCAGCUAGUUUGACAGCUCUGUAAUCUACGGUUCCUCACAGAGAUCACCAUGGUAGGUCUGCCGGUCUCUGGGCGUAGGUGAACGUGUGGCCACGUGGACCUGUGUAUGUGUGUGACUGUUGGUUGGUUGGUAGGCAGGGCAGGUUUAAGAAUGACCAGAACAUUCUCAGAAACAAAACUCGUACCAUCUCCCCAUUCGAGGAAAUCAGUAGAGUGAGACUUUCACGGUACGCCGACAGUCAGUAACAGACUUUUAUUGCUGACGUUACCUGUUAAAUCUUUUUUUACCUUUUAAAAAAGGGUUAAGAUGAAAAUCCUAUUGUAAAUAUUUCAAAUGAUUUCCCAUGACAUUUAAAGUUCAAACUAGUCGGGGAGAAGAAAAAAAAAGGAAAAUAUAAUUAUGUUGUGCAAUCGCUCAACAGGUCGGCCUGGAAAAUGUUUCGACUUGAACAACUUCAACAGCUGCCGUGCAAGAUUUAGAAAUAGUGGAAAAAUCUUAACGGAGAGUUUAAUGUUUUUGGAAUCUGACAAUACUUUGUAUGUAUACAUUGUAUUUAGUAAUAUUUGGUAAUGUCAGGACCAACCUCGCUACAGUAGCUACACUAAUUCAGUCAUUUCAAUGUUCCCGUUUUAUUUUGUGUCCAAUGUCUCAUCUCUAUCAUUAUGGUGAAAUAAGAUCACAUGUUCGAUUAUCGUUGGUAACUGGCGCUAAUGUCCUGUUUCCUCAUGUUUCUUAUUUAUUACCUCCCAGUCCGUGUAGGUGUGUAUUCUGCGUUCCUGUUUUGUUUUUUUGCGAACUGCUUCCUUGAAUUUUGCUGUUUAAUUUGCGUAUUUGAAUCUAAUUGUGAUACAGUAGGUUGACAGUACAAUGUGUACCAAAAAGAGACACCAAAUAUGAUGUUUUGAUCCGAACUGUGACCUGAGGAUGUAGUCUUUGUACAUCUCGAAAAGAUCUGAUUAAGAUUUCUUUUUCAGAUUUCUAUAUCUCACAGACUUGUUUCCUUUCCUUUCCUCUUCUUACGGCCCUGGAGUACAACGAAUGAGGGUGGGAAGGGAAGAGAAAGAGCAGCCAGAACAGAGCAGUCAGCUUUAAAGAGAAUGCUUUCAUCUUUCCCACAGACAGGCUGAGAGUUGUCUUAUCUCUGAGGCUUGGCCCUGCUAUCGCUCUCCCUGUUAAACAUUAGUCCCAGGAAUCCCCCUUGGCUUUAUAGGCAGGAGUGCAUGCAGAACACUUGUUCUUCUAUCCUAGUGCAAACUUUAAAUCAUGUCAGGAUAAUAAAUGCUAUUUCAUUUUUGCCUUUUAGAAGUUUAGAUUUUUACCUGGAGGGGAAAGUCAAUUGCCUAAGAAUUAAGGAAGCCUGGACUUAUAAUCAUGUUUGUUACAGUGUGUCUUGAUAUAAUCCGAUCUAAAGGGGUAAUCAGACAAAUACUUCUACACCUGGUGACCAAUCAAAGUGCUUAACACAACAGGUUCUGCUAUCAACCCAUUUACCUUAGGGCUUCCAGGUCGUACAAAGAAUUUGAAACUUGCAGCCUUGUUCCAGUGUAAACCUCUCCGCAGACUUUAACACCUGCCUGUAGGGAACUUGGGUCUGUACCAAAGACUAAGGUUACACUUCUUUUGUAACUCUGCUAUCUGUACUUCUCCCAACUCUAACAAAAAAACCCUUCAUGUUAAAUGUCAGUGACAUAUUAAAACCAAUGUACGCCUCACAGAGAAUGCCGUGUAUGUACACGGUGCUUACAAUGAAAUGUCUGAACUCAUCAGAACGCAUGAGUCGAAAGGCAACUUCAAAUGAGUGUGAACAAGACUUCGAUUCUAUCAAAGAAAGUUGAAUAUUUAUAGUUCGACUCUUUCCACUUUCCCAGGACUCUCUCAAAAACACAGGCUCUGCUCUUGACAGUUGGUAGUGUGUGUGAAGCUAACCGCCUGUUUCAGCACUGACUUGCAGCUGUAUGACUUUUGUUUUAUUUUGACCGUAUCCCGGCAACAGAGCUGUUCCUAUUUAGCUCCCUCUCCACCCUCUGGCUCCCAGCGCUCUGGGCUGCUUCGCUCUUCCACGUUAGUGUGUGUGUCUGUUACACAUCUGCUUUGCAUUGCCGGGGGAUCUCGGCACUGACUGAAGCCAGGAGGGCGGCGGAUCACGGUGGAGGUUGUAGAAGAAAGGGGUGAGAGGGUUGAAGUUGCACAGAGUGAAAGGAGAAAUAAGUAAAUAAAAACAGAGGAGUAAAAGAGACAAAGAGACAGGGAAAGUGCUACGAUGAAGACGUAACAGACGGAGAGAGAACGCGACUCUGUGAUGAAGGCAGAGGAUGAAAUAUAUGUUUCUGCAAUUCAGCAACAAGGACAUUAAUAUAAGGCAAUUAGAACACUUUUUAAGCUGCCGUGGACCAGACAGAAUGACUUAACGGGCCACAUUUAGCCCGUGGCCCUUGGGUUUGACAUGUAUUAGAGCUAUCAAGGUUUAUACAUUUGUAGUUUAGCAGUUUACUUCAGGGUUGGGUGAGCGAUAUCGCUAAUGUUGGUUGGCUGCAUUUCAUUAUUUAAUAUGCUAAAACUGCGAUUCGGGAGAGAACUGCGUUUGGUCGGGGAAGGGGGCGCUGUGAAAACAGACCAACAUCCAGGAGGGGAAUCAGUACUUUUAGACUAGGGUCAAGAAAGUGUCCACUGCUGCUACUCCUCUGGGAUUUUAUCUUUUUUUUACCAAUUGUUUUGCCUCUCCAUCCUCCACUCUCUCAUUCCUGCGGGCACCUCCUCCUCUCCGUUGCCUUCUCACUCAUAUGUCAGCUAAUUAUUGGACCUCACUGUGUGAUUAUGUAUUGCACAUGAGAUCCGACGCAGAGACGUGGAGAGGUGAGACGGUGAGCAAGUCAGCCGCGGAAAAGCGCUGCACUCAGUCCAGAGGACACGGAGCAGUCUUCCUUUAAUGCUGGGUGUUUUUUUGUUUUUUUUUUCGCGUGUUUCGUGUCCUUCUUAUGUAUGUGUAUGUUUUGCAGUUGAAGUCUGUUGAAAAGUGUGUCUCCUUGAAAGUCUUCUCAAUCAAACCAAAGUGGAGCAGGGAGUGCUCUGAGAGCACUUUAGCUUUCAGAUGAAGAGUGAUGAGAAUACACCCGUAAUUACAUGUGAAUCCUCCACCUGAAGCUGAAAACACAGAUGUGUGUGUGUGUGUGUUUGCGUAUGUCACCUAUUCAUCUGUCUUCCAUACUCUGAGUCACGCAGCCUCAAUCACAAAUGUCACUUGCCAACCACAACGAGCCUCAGUGUCCCCGACAUGUUCCAUAAAUGCUGAUGCAUUAAAAGGCAUGGGGCUUUUGUAUUCACACGAACCGUGAUGAAUCCACUGAGUACCAGCGGUUGCUAUCUUUUCACCAGAAACACAACAGAAAGUAUAAACGGAGGCAAAGCUGCAUCGAGUGGAAAUAUUUUGUCACCUUCAUUAAUUGAAACUGUAACGUAAUCGACUCGACUUUCUAUUGCAUUAACGUCUAGAAUGUGAGGCCGUGCAACUCUUGGGAAAAAUACAAUACAAAACUAAAGUCAAACGAGAGACAGCACACGUCCCUGAGAUACCGUCCUCCUCAAAUGUAGCACCCAUACCAUUAACUGGACAUUGGACUUCACCAUAAUGUCUCUAUAGGCUCUGAGUCAUCCUGGUCAUUUGAACAAAUCAAGAAACCAACCCAGUGAAGUUGCCUAUAUCUACACUGAUUUCACCUCUCUAUUUCUAAAUAAAGAUCAGAGCUGUGGUUUUCAACCUUGGGGUUGCGACCCCAUGUGGGGUUGCCUGGAAUUCACAUGGGGUCGCCUGAAAUGUCUUUGAGUGAAUGUUCAUUUUCAGCCUUGUAGAGACAACAUUUACGUUUACAUAGAUGUACUUUGUGGACACUUCUAUCCAGAGCGUGCUAACCGCUACACUGUGGAACCAACACGACAAGCUGCUCUAACAGUUCACGUGAUCAUGUGUGGAAAAUACAAUG